rnacentral:rRNA from 1 species
UUAAAUUGAAGAGUUUGAUCAUGGCUCAGAUUGAACGCUGGCGGCAGGCCUAACACAUGCAAGUCGAGCGGAAACGACAACAUUGAAUCUUCGGAGGAUUUGUUGGGCGUCGAGCGGCGGACGGGUGAGUAAUGCCUA